rnacentral:tRNA from 1 species
GCUGCUAUAGCUCAGUAGGCAGAGCGCGUCCUUGGUAAGGACGAGGUCGGCAGUUCAAGCCUGCCUAGCAGCUCCA